GAUGAACGCUGGCGGCGUGCUUAACACAUGCAAGUCGAACGGUGAAGGCGGAGCUUGCUCUGCUGGAUCAGUGGCGAACGGGUGAGUAAUACGUGAGCAAUCUGCCCCUGACUCUGGGAUAAGCGCUGGAAACGGCGUCUAAUACUGGAUACGAGCUGCGAAGGCAUCUUCAGCAGCUGGAAAGAACUUCGGUCAGGGACUAGCUCGCGGCCUAUCAGCUUGUUGGUGAGGUAACGGCUCACCAAGGCGUCGACGGGUAGCCGGCCUGAGAGGGUGACCGGCCACACUGGGACUGAGACACGGCCCAGACUCCUACGGGAGGCAGCAGUGGGGAAUAUUGCACAAUGGGCGAAAGCCUGAUGCAGCAACGCCGCGUGAGGGACGACGGCCUUCGGGUUGUAAACCUCUUUUAGCAGGGAAGAAGCGAAAGUGACGGUACCUGCAGAAAAAGCGCCGGCUAACUACGU
rnacentral:rRNA from 1 species